UUUCUACUCCCUCCGUCCGAAAAUACUUGUCAUCAAAAUGGAUAAAACGAGAUGUAUCUAAAACUAAAAUACGUCUAGAUACAUUUCCUUUUAUCCAUUUUGAUGACAAGUAUUUCCGGACGGAGGGAGUAUUUG
rnacentral:pre_miRNA from 1 species